GAUGAAGAACGUAGCGAAAUGCGAUAAGUAAUGUGAAUUGCAGAAUUCAGUGAAUCAUCGAAUCUUUGAACGCACAUUGCGCCCCAUGGUAUUCCUUGGGGCAUGCCUGUUCGAGCGUCACUACAAACCCGCUCAUACAUAUUAUAUGGUAUUGAUGGAAGUGGACCGUGGUUACUAAUAAUGUAUCUGGAUCACCCCAUUGAAAUGUAUAGGCAGGACAGUAAACCUCUGCAAUGGACUUAGUAACUGUUGUGAAAACAUAGACCAGUCCUUUGCCUGGUUCCAGCCUGGCCUCCAUGGACCUCUAUCCAAGAUGAACUCUGGGUUGACCUCGGAUCAGGUAGGGAUACCCGCUGAACUUAAGCAUAUCAAUAAGCGGAGGA
rnacentral:misc_RNA from 1 species